rnacentral:rRNA from 1 species
UACGAAGGGGGCUAGCGUUGUUCGGAUUUACUGGGCGUAAAAGCGCACGUAGGCGGAUCGUUAAGUCGGGGGUGAAAUCCUGGAGCUCAACUCCAGAACUGCCUUCGAUACUGGCGAUCUUGAGUCCGGAAGAGGUGAGUGGAACUCCUAGUGUAGAGGUGGAAUUCGUAGAUAUUAGGAAGAACACCAGUGGGCGAAAGGCGGCUCAGCUGGUCCGGUACUGACGCGUGAGGUG